rnacentral:lncRNA from 1 species
GAGACAAGAUCAGUAAUGCGAGCAUUAAUCUCUAAUAUGGAACUUUUUGUUGGCAUUAAUUGAGUAAAUAGUGAUUGUUGCCUUCAUUCUCAAAUCAUGGUCGAAUUGUCAACUCUAUGAACUGUAGCAUACCCUUUAAUAGCUUCUUAGAAGAGUUGGAACAAAAUGCAGAAAUGUAUUUAAGAGCUUUGUUAGCUUGAGUUGUUCGGACAUGGAAAAGUAAACAAAAAAUAAAGGGGAUUAACUAGACCUGAUGACAUUCUUUUUCUUAUGAUGCACUUCAUUUUGAAGUUGAUACUUUAGUUGGUGAGACAAUUAAAAGUUUGAAUAACCUUUUGAGUUUCUUAUACUUCUUUAGUAUGAUGAGUCCUGAUCUUUGUUCUGAUUUUCUUUUUUUAAGUAAUGG